CUCCACGCGGCCGACGGGGACGGUUCCGAUGCCUGAGAGAGAAAGUUCAUAAGCGCGCCUUUCAGUCGCCAACUCAGCCACGCCGCCAUCUCAGCCACGCCGCCAUCUUUUGAUCCGUUUGGAUUUCUAUCACAGAGUUUGAAACGUGAAUGCCGUGAACGAAAACAUGGGCGCGGCUCAACUGUAAACUUCUACGAUCCGGUCGGUCGGGUUUCCUCGACGAGGCCUGUCCGGACCUGUGACGAGCCGUCCGGCGCCACUCCCAGUGAUGUUGUUCACAUCAAGAGGACCGUAUCACACCAGUGUUCCCGGUUACCCCGCGAGAUGCUGCCUUUGCCGCCGCAACGUUCUCCAACAUCCCAGCCACAGCAGCAUCGAGGUCGGCCACUGGAGCUGGAGGGAUGAGGCCCAGCGGCGUUGGAUGGGGUUGGUGGUCGGGGGUCCCAAGCUUGCCUCCAUCAAACUGGGAAGAAGCCCCUCUUCGCGGACCAAGCUUGGGAAGCAACACAUCAACUAAAUUAGAUUAGAUUAUUUUGUGUGAAAAAAAAGGAAUCCUAAAAAAAACACCACAUUAAAGAGGAGAAACACUCCUACAGGUGAA